CCCCCAGUUCUCAGGCUGAUGUGCUUGGAGAAAGUCGUGUGCUCUGGCUCCUGCAUUGGUGCUCAGCUCUGUGCCUGUGUGGUGUGGUGGCUGUCUUAUUGGGGGUGCGCAAGCCAGAAAUAAUUCUUCAGUACUCGGGCUACAUGCGCCUAGAUUUACUUUCCCUAGGUGCCCGUGCGAUUGUUGUCAGCUGGAGGACCCGUCAAGUGUGGUGACAACCUUACCAGACGUCAGCGUGGUCUACAAGCUUCACUUGGAGUGUGGGCGCCUCAUCAAUUUGUAUGACUGGCUUCAGGCCUAUAUUUCAGUGGCUGAUCCAGAGGAAGAUACAUCCAGCAAGAAUGCAAUAGAUCAGAGACUUCAAGCACGGUUUGUUCAGGCUGUGUCUGAAAUGCAGUUUUUAGGCUUUGUUAAAGCAACUAGUCGCAAAACUGAUCAUGUGGCCAGGCUGACGUGGGGCGGGUGCUAACAUCACGAAUGCCUUAAACAUCAUGCGACGAAGACACCUCUAACAAUAAAUGUCAUUUAUUUAACCAGUAUAUUAUUAUGCAAUGGUUAAAUCAAACAAUUGUCAAGAUUCCUAAAGUAAUUAUUAAUUUUUGUUUGAUUAUAUUUUUCAAUACAAUUUUAUGAAUUUUAUGAUUAAGAAAUCAAUAAAUGUUAAAAUAUUUUUUAAUAAAACUGCAUCUGUAUUUCUUAAAAUUUUAUC